UUUUCGUGGUAAAAGUGCCGACAGAUAUAACAAGUCAAUGUUCUUGCUUCUUUAAGCUCUGCAAUCUCUCUGGUUGCAAAUUUUAAAUGGAUUCGCUGAAGAGAUUGAAACCCUAAAUUUCAAAUCCCUAAUUUGGUCCUUCAAAAUGCAAGGGUCUGAAGCAGAAGAAUCGCCUCGGGAGCAAAAGCUCUGUGGCUUCUGCAACGUAGUUCUUGCUGUGAAUUCACCUCAAGAGAACGAACUCUCCAAGACCUUACCUUUUGGCACUCGUUGUUACCUCUUUAGAGACGGGUCUAGUGUUGGUUUUCGAUCUGAAGAUGGUAUAGUAUUGUCUUUGGUUGAAUGUGGUGGUUAUUGUGCUUCGAAGAUUGGAGGAAAAGAGAAUUCAGAGGUUAAUUCUGGGUUUUCGACUCCAAAUUCGAGUAAAGAUAAGGUUAAAGGGAGAAAAUAUGGUUCUUCAAGGAGGAAGAGCCGAACAAUUGGGCUUGUGCAUGGUAGCAUGAGCGUGGUUCAUCAGCUUCACGCUUUGACAGUGCACAAGUGUUUGGAGAUUAUUGCUAGAGUGGUAAGGAUUUCGAUUCGUGAUAGCGGGGAUGCGAGGGCUGUGCUAAUGGUUGAUGUGUAUUUGCCACUCGCAGUAUGGUCGGGUUGGCAAUUCCCCAAAUCAGGGUCGACGGCCGCUGCUCUGUUUAGGCACGUCAGUUGUGACUGGGAGCAGAGAAACUUGAUGCUCCAUGAUGACAGAAACCGAUUUACAUAUAAUCAGAGAGAUGAUGAGGUCAUUUGGAAUGACUCAGAUUGUCAUGUUCUUGGAUGCAAACUGCACCAGAAUGUAACUGGACCUUCCAAGAACAAGCUUUUUGAGCUCCAUGAAGUUUUCAGGAGUUUACCUGGUGUUUCAAGGGAGGAAAAAGUUUAUUCUACAAGAAUCAAACCAGUAGAUGGUUCUCUUAGUUCAGGAAUUUGUGAGGUUUCAGAUGAUGUACUGACUAGAAUUCUGAUUGCGCUUGGCCCUAUGGAUCUAGUCAGAGUCGCAGCUACUUGUCGCCAUCUUAGGUCCGUGGCAUUAUCAAUCAUGCCAUGUAUGAAGCUUAAGCUUUUCCCUCAUCAGCAGGCUGCAGUCGAGUGGAUGUUGCAGCGUGAACGCAAUGCCAGUGUCUUGCCGCAUCCUCUAUACAUGGAUUUCUCAACUGAGGAUGGAUUUCAUUUUUAUGUAAAUUCUGUUUCUGGUCAGAUAGCCACUGGAAUCAUUCCCACCAUAAGAGAUUUCCGUGGUGGUAUGUUUUGUGACGAGCCAGGCUUGGGUAAGACCAUAACUGCAAUCUCUCUUAUUCUUAAGACUCAAGAAACAUUGGCAGACCCACCAGGAGGAGUCGAAGUGACAUGGUGUAAGCAUAAUUCUGAGCAAAGGUGUGGCUAUUAUGAGCUGAGUUCUAGUAAUUUAUCUGCUGGGAAGUUGGUAUCGUCAUGGAAAGUGUUCAUAGGUCAAAAUGAGGGAAGGGGACAGAUGAGUCCAGAUAUGACUCCAAUUCAAGUCUCAACACGCUCCUUAUCAAAGAGAGCAAGAUUAAUAGUUUCGGAUGAUCUUUGCUUGAGGGCUGCUGAUUCCUGUCCUGGAAAAUUAGAAACUGCAUCUUCCUCAUCUACAUCUACAUGCUCUUCAUUGGCAACACAUGUCCUUCGCUGUUCUAGGAGGUUAAGUUGUGUCAAGAGAAAUCUUCUAACUGCAUAUGAAGAGGCUUCAGGGCCUGCAAAAAAAAGCAAGGUCAGGAAAAGUUUAGAUAGCCCAACAAAUUUCUUUAUGAAAAAGAAAGACAUUGUGUCAUCUCUAUUACCCAAUGGUUGCCAGAAGCCUCGAAAGGCUUGUGUUGAUCAUUUUGAAUAUAAUGAGACUUGGGUCCAGUGUGAUUCUUGUCGCAAGUGGAGGAAGCUUUCUGACACCAGUGUGCCCAGUGCUACUGAACCAUGGUUUUGUAGCAUGAAUUCUGACCCUUUCCACCAGAAGUGUACCAGUCCAGAGGAAUCUUGGGACUAUACAAGACCCAUAACAAACUUACCAGGGUUUUACACUAAAGGAACCCUGGGUGGAAAGGAGCAGAAUGUGGCAUUUUUCACAAGUGUGCUAAAGGAACACUAUACAUCAAUAAACUCUACAACGGUAAAGGCUUUAACUUGGUUGGCUGGACUUUCUGAGGGCAAACUCCUGGAAAUGGAAACAGCUGGUUUGACACGUCCAGUUUUAGACCAUCGCAUCACUCCUGGAGGAGGUGCAGAUGGUUACCAUAAAAUUUUUCAAGCAUUUGGUCUCAUUGUGAGAGUUAAAAAGGGAACUGACAGAUUGUAUUACCCACACCGUCUUGACAACUUGGCUUUUGAUUCAUCUGCAUUACGAAUUGCUCUCACAAAGCCUUUAGACAUAGUAAGGUUAUAUUUGUCAAGAGCAACACUAAUUGUUGUCCCAGCAAAUUUAGUUGAUCACUGGAAAACGCAGAUCCGAAAGCAUGUCAAACCUGGGCAGCUGCGCGUUUAUGUCUGGACUGAUCAAAAGCCCUGUGCACACAAUCUGGCAUGGGACUAUGAUGUUGUAAUAACCACCUUUAAUCGCUUAAGUGUAGAAUGGGGCCCGCAUAAGAAGAGUGUAUUGAUGCAGGUCCACUGGCUUAGAAUAAUGUUGGAUGAAGGACACACACUUGGUUCAAGUCUAAGCUUAACAAACAAAUUGCAAAUGGCCAUUUCAUUGAGUGCUUCCAAUCGGUGGUUAUUAACUGGAACACCAACUCCAAAUACACCCAAUAGCCAAGUUUCUCAUCUUCAACCCAUGCUUAAGUUCCUUCAUGAGGAAGCAUACGGGAAAAAUCAGAAGUCAUGGGAGGCAGGUAUUCUUAGGCCAUUUGAGGCAGAGAUGAUGGAAGGCCGGUCGCGUCUGUUGCAGCUACUUCACAGGUGCAUGAUCAGUUCCAGAAAGGUGGAUUUACAAAUGAUCCCUCCUUGCAUCAAGAAGGCGACUUUUCUCGAUUUUACUGAAGAGCAUGCAAGAAGUUAUAAUGAGUUGGUAGUUACUGUUCGGAGAAAUAUUUUAAUGGCCGACUGGAAUGAUCCUUCACAUGUUGAGAGCCUUCUGAACCCGAAACAGUGGAAGUUCCGAAGCACCACAAUUAGAAAUGUUAGGCUAUCAUGCUGUGUAGCUGGCCAUAUUAAAGUUACAGAUGCUGGAGAGGAUAUUCAGGAAACCAUGGAUAUCUUAGUGGAACAAGGCCUGGAUCCUACUUCAGAAGAGUAUGUUUUGAUAAAAUAUUUUCUUCUGAAUGGUGGCAACUGUUUCAGGUGCAAAGAAUGGUGCCGUUUACCUGUCAUUACUCCAUGUAAGCAUCUUCUAUGCCUUGAUUGUGUUGCUCUGGACAGUGAAAGGUGUACUUUUCCUGGUUGUGGAAAUUGUUAUGAGAUGCAGACUCCUGAAAUGUUAGCCCGUCCAGAAAAUCCUAGCCCGAAAUGGCCUGUUCCCAAAGAUCUCAUUGAAUUGCAACCUUCAUAUAAACAGGAUGACUGGGCUGCUGACUGGCAUGCAACAUCGAGCAGCAAAGUUGCUUAUCUUGUGGAAAGGCUGAAAGCUUUGCAGGAGGCUAACAAAAAAAUCUGCUGCUCAUUGAAUGAGAAUGAGGUUGUCAAGCACUCUGAUGAUUAUCUUUUUCCUUCUCAGAAAAGCUAUUGGAAUGUAUUAUGUCAUGAGGCCUGCACUCAAACAAAAGUGGAGUUUUAUGAGAAGCCUCCUGAGAAAGUGAUAAUAUUUUCACAGUUUCUUGAGCAUAUACAUGUGAUUGAACAACAGUUAACAGUUUCUGAUAUCAAAUUUGUUGGAAUGUAUAGUCCAAUGCAUUCUACCAACAAGAUGAAAUCAUUAGCAAUCUUCCAGGAAGAUGCAAAUUGCAUGGCUCUAGUGAUGGAUGGAAGUGCAGCGCUCGGUCUUGAUUUAAGCUUUGUCACACAUGUAUUUUUAAUGGAACCUAUCUGGGACAGAAGUGUGGAGGAACAAGUCAUUAGUCGGGCUCAUCGAAUGGGUGCAACUCGUCCUAUUCACGUGGAAACUUUGGCCAUGCGUGGUACCAUUGAAGAGCAAAUGCUGAAUUUCUUACGAGAUGCUGAUGAGUGUAGAAGGACCCUGAGUGAAGAGUUUGGGAGAACUGACCGUGAAGGGGCACGGGCACAUCGUACAUUGCAUGAUUUUGCUGAGAGCAAUUAUUUGGCUCAGAUCAGCUUUGUAAGGAUGAGUACCAAGUCAUGAAGCUUAGAUUUGCGCGAUUGGAGUUCGAAGGUAAUGGUUUUUUCUCGAAAUCUAAUUUUAAGAAAAAUUAGUACAUAGACAUAGUGAUGGGCAUAAAAUAUGUCAUGAGAAAUAUAUGUGCUGCAUUCGGAGGGGCAUCACCAACAUUUUCAGUGAUAUGCAGCUCAUGGAUUAGACCUGCCCAGACACUCCAUGUAUUGAGUGGAAAUUGAUUGUUCAUUCUUUCUACCUCUCAACCUGGUUUCGUUCUAGCUCAGCAACUCUUUCAUCAAGCUCUCUUCAAAAGAGGAAUCGUGGUUCAGGAUGUUACUUUUUCUUUAAUUUAUGUUGCAUUCAUAUUCCUGUCGAUUCUUUAACUGAUUUAUGUCACCAAUUUAUGGUGGCUGAAAUUACAACAGGGUCAUUUGUAUUUGUAUUUGCUGAAUGGUAUCUUUCAUAUGAGAUGAAUCAUCAAUUUGUCCUCUUAA